UGAGACAUCCUGAAGCACGUGAAGUACCGUCAUCUGAACACCACUAAAGCUGAUCAUUUUCCCUGGCAUGAGUCUGACAGAGGAGGCAUCUACAGAUUACUUUGGGUAUCUUGUCAGUUCUACUUUUCAAAUACACUUUUAUCUUCUAUACUUCAUUUUUGCCCUGGAUUCAACACUGCCAAGAGCAGUCUGUUCUUGAGCGCUUCAGUCUGGAGAAUUGCAGAGGAAACGGUCAGUGCACAAAUGAUUAGCCAGGAUAACGCACUUCCAAACUCGAAUAGAUUUCACUUUUGUUGUUGACUCUGACUCUGUGUUUCCAAGGCUGCGCUGGCUACUUAUUUGCGGCCAAGGAGUUAUUUGCUUUCAACUGUUAUUAAUGAUCCAUACAUUUUAGAGGUACUGUUACAAGAGAUUGCUCCAACUAUCAGUUUGGGUAAUUGAGACCAGUCCUCAGCUCUGAAGCUCUUUUGCAUCAAUAACCUGCGUGGACCAGAGUCUAUACAUAUCCAAAUCAGGAGCCUUGCUUGAACAAGUAAGUAGGACAUUAAUCUUUCAAUGGUGGGUAUCAAAUAUAUAAUACUAAUGGAUACAUGAUUAACCGAUUUGUGAAAUCAUUGGUUAAAGAAGGUGUCUUGGGGCAAGAGGAGUGAGUGGAGAGUGCAAAAGUGCCUUUAUGUGAGAAGCUAGUGUGAGCACUAGAGAUUGGUGCAGCCAGGUGUCAAAUACAAGUGCGUACAGGGACAGGGUGAGUAAAGCGAGUGUAGUAGUGACACUUUUCUUUGGGGGCAGCAUGACUAUGGAAAUGUUCCCAGCUAUAAAUACACAAAAAAAACCUACACACAAUGCUCAGCUAAUUCAUCCCAUGCCACAUCCUUUGUUCAUGCUACUAAUUUGGAUCUCUCUAUCACUUUUUAUCUCUGGCUGCUAUUAAUCUUUCACACAAAUAUGAAUGCCCUGUGUACAACAUGAUUGCUACAGCUGUUAUUUUGUCCUCUGAACAAACUAUUAGCAUUGUUUUUAAUACAGACCCCAUGUAUUAAAUGGAUGAUAGAGCACCCAUUCACUGAAGUACCUCUUAGAGCUCAGGUCUAAUUCAGCAUAGCUAACUUGUGGGGAAUUCCUCUGCAUAGUGGGAUCCUGGAAGACAUGAGGCUAGACAAUUGGUUUUGUGUCACACCUUCUGGUUGCUUCUUGGUUGUGGCUACAAGAUAUGCACACUUGGACCACACUGGCAUGCAAGAGGUGGCAGAUUGCAUCUGAUGCGCAGCUAUUGGAAGGGAAGAACCACAAGUUGGAUACUGACCACAUCGCCUCUGGGUGCUACUCCACUAAUAAAACAAAUAAAGAUAUGUGGAUUAUGGAAGCCUUUAUAGACCUACAUGGAAAUCAUCUGGCUCAGCUGGCAGGGGUCAUGCAGACUUUUUCCAUGGGUUAUAGUCUGUGUGGUUUCACACCCAACAAAUGUCAAAGCAAAACUCAGCUGCAAUUGCCAAGUUUUGUCUGUGUUUGGGUUAAGUCAUAAAAGAACUCACCAAAUUCCACAUCAGUCGUUUCAGAAUUGCAAGAAACCACCCAGGUUCAGUGAAGAGAUCAAGAAUCUGGUGAAAAUUUUGGCAAACGUCACCAGAACAAUGGCUCAAGGAAACCCUGGUUUUUGAGCCUUCUAUAGCGUGACCAUCCUGAUAGCUGGUCUGUCCUUAUGCCAAAUAAUUAUUGUUCCUUGUGACUCUUAUUUUGUAUAGAAAUACUCAGAGUGAACAUACAAGCAUGACUCUCUAGUGUUCUUUAGGCAUUCGACUGUGCUCACUUGCAAGGUUUCUGAGGAUGAAAGGACUGCCUCAGCAGUGAAGAAGGUUGUUGCUCAUGAGUAUGAGCAUGGAUGGAGCUGAUGAGGUUUCAGAAGAUUCUCAGCUUAAAGAGGAAAACAGGAGUGGUGAAAACCUUUUCACCAAAAAGUUUAGCAGUGGUCCACAAUGGUCCAGCACUGCGGAGUGUAUCGCUUUUCAAGAGCGUAAAUGAUCUCCUGGAAGUCAGGAGGACUUGCUUUCCUAAUGGUUAGGGCAUAUUUACAGGCUUUGGCGGAUCAAGACAACGAAGCAUAAAAAAGCACAAUCAUAGCAUGCUUGGCACUGAUACAUUUUCUGGCAGCAACAUCAGUUUGGUUUUCAACUGAAGACAGACAAGCAUAAAAUCAACCAAGGAGGACCAGACCUGUGUUUCUAAUAGCCAAGACAGGCACAAGACUCACCUGAACCAUUGAAUUCAAGAAAGAAGUGUCCCCCAAAGAAGAAUCUGGUGCAAUAUGAAGAUAUUGCAGCUCCGUGGAGGAAACUGGAUUGUAUCACUCUGAGUAUCUUUGUGAGAGCCGCACAGCACAAAAUGGUAUUCCAACACUGAACAGCAUACAGCGUGGAUAAGGUGGGCUUUAAGAAAUCAUUGUUUAGUUCAUGGGUUAUUGAAAUGGAAAUCAAACAAGCCUGCUCAGUACUGCCCUGUGGUGCACUGAUCUCCGCUGGAGCUCCAAGCCGAGUCUUCGGACUCGUGGGCCACCGAUAGCAACGCGAUCGCUCGCAUGAAAUGGCAAGCAAAGAUUUCUUGGAGGACGUCAGAAAAAGCCAUCCAGAUAUAGUGUGACUGAUGGCACAGUCAAGAAUGGAAGUGGUAGGAUAGUUAUGUUUAGAGCAGAACAACAUGAAGACUUGAUCCAAAGCAGGCCUUUCUGAUAUGAAGUCCCAAUAAUCUCAAGGAGAUAGUAAUCUUUGAUGAUCAUGUACUAAUUUAGGAGCCAUUCCUCGACAUUGAUGUCUGUAAGAAAACGUUUACAGCAAGAGAAGACUCAUGGAAGACGGAAAUGCCUCAGAGGUAUGCAGCCUAGCACCAUGCAUUGCCUGACCAGGGACAUCCACACGCUCCUGCUGUGCCAACACAUGUCAGAUGUGAAGAGCACCCUAAUAUGAGUACUUGACCUAAACUGAACAAAUUUCCUAAUUGCAGUAAGACAACACUUGAGGGUGUGGUUACCACAGAAAAUCACACCCAUGGACAGAUUAGGAGCACCUGGCUGCACCUCAUGCCUCCUCAUGCCCCAGGGGCAUGAUUAUCUCAUCAGGGGCCACCUGCCAAGUCUUGUUGCUGAGGAACUGGCUCUGGCACACUGCAAGCUUGGGGUGGGGAGACGAGCACACCAGGGCCAGCAUAUACACUUAUCCCAAGUGCAUUCCUUAACAUCAAGUAUUUACACGGCGAUGGUGUCUUGGUUCAGCUCAGAAGCCUAGCUGUGCUUGGGAGUUACAGAGGAGCAAAAUGUUGUUUCUAGAUCCUGUCCUGCACCCCUCACAUCCUCAGUGCAGGUUGCAUUGUGUGUUACUGGGGAUCAUUACAUCAGCCACAGCGACCCUGAAGUUGUCACUCUCCAGCCAUAGUUUUUCCAACCACUCGGUGCAGUCUACAAGAGGCUCCAAGGAGGUGGAUGAACUCCCUGCUGGCAAUUUUCAAAAUGUUUUGCCCUUUCCUCCCAAAAGAGGACAAAGGCAAAGUGAGACACAGGCUUUAUGAGUACCAAAGUGGUCUGACCAUGAAAACAGCACAUAGACUUCAAGUUCAAGGCAUGAGGCCUAACCUCUACAGCAGUUAGCAGAUCAUGGCCCGGCAACAGCAGGAAGACCAAACCUCUGCCUCUGCCAAGCCUGUUGAGCUUCUCUGGAGCAACGAAGAUCGUAAAACACAAGACAAAGCUCUGAGCCCAGAGGGUGUACUAGAAAUCUAACCACCCAAAUCUGCUCGCCACAAAGGAAGGAGAAAGGCAGCUACGUCCAGAUGCGUUUGAAUUCAAGGAUAUUCAGAAUGUGAGUAUUUGGCCUAGACCACACUAGGGAGAGGGCCUGCCCAUCAGAUGUUUAUAGUCGGGAUACAAACCGUGAGGUCUGAGCUGAACAAAAGCUCUAAGGUUUUGGACAGGGAGUUUUGUUUCGGGCCUACGUCUCAGAGAAAUAAUGGACAUAACCUUUAAAGCUACCUAGAAGCCAUAUCUCUGUCACCAUCACUCUACUGUGGGGUAGCUUUGAUGCAUGCGAAGAGCCUGUGUCAGACAGAUGAGCCAAGCUCACGACGACUUUGACAGCCCAAUGUGCAAGUCUUCUUCAUCCUUUUUGUUCCCCCUGAGAAAAAGCCUUAAUUUUAGGUUAUCCUGGAAAUAGUCCAUAUGCUUAUGAGUUUCACCUGUUCUGUCUCUAAGCCAACACAUCUCUGGGGGACACUAGAGUUGAAGUCCUAUUCCAAAUCCUCUUAUAAAUGCUUAUUAUUAUAGUUUCACGUAGAAACAGUAGAGAUCCCAACAGAGUUCUCCUUGUGCCCUGGACACUGCACAAAUAGGGCUGAAGAGAGAGACAGCUUGCCCUAAAGAGCACACAGCUUCAGCUGAUGAGCUGAACAAGGUGUGAGAGCAAGGAAACGAGGUGAAGCAGCUUGGCGGGAGUUACACUGCAGUCCAGUGACAGAGCCAGGGCCAAGGCCAGUCCCAAAACCAGCCAAUUUUGUCACAGAGGUGGAGAUAGCCCUGAUCUAACAGGGAUGGGAAGAGUGGGCCAGAUGGUGUAGCCAUGACUACUGUUGCGUCCGUCACACGGAUUGGUGUUAAAGGGGAUGCUGUAAAGAGCCCACCGUCCUCUUGAGGGGGCUGCACUUAGGAGCAUGCUGUCCCUUCUCUGUUUGUGCGGCUCCCUCCCUUCUGCCCUGCACAGAUCGAAAGACAAGGUUCAGGGACUGCCUCCAGCAGCCCUAAUCUUUAGGGAUUAAGCAAGAGUAUUUUCCUGAAGGCACAUGAAAAACACAUAUUCCUUCUAACCCACUUCCCACGAGUGUGGAGAAGCCCCUCUUGUAAGGUGGAUUUAGUACAGACAUGAGAGCAUCAACAGAACAAAUCCAAAACAGAGAUGCAUUUUUCUCCCUCUGCAUUUUUGUAACCAGCUGGUACAGACAGUCUGCUCCUUAAUUCACAUUAUUUACUAUAUUUUUGUGCUAGAAUAUGUAGUUGCUUUGAAGAGUUGUGCUGCUAUUGCUAUGUACACACAGGCUCUCUCUUCUACGGGUUAUUCCCAAUCACUUUUUAGCAAAUAAAUGAAUUAACUCUGUCUAUAUACCAGUGGAUAAUCCCCCAAAUAAGCUUCUUAAGAACGGAAUCUCAUGUUGCUAGUGAAUGCAUCCAACCCUACGGAAGAUGAACAGUGAAAGGCGUACACAAAUGGAAAGUUAGAGUAGCACCAUCUUCUUUAGAAGAAGCUAAAUAUAUAUCUAUAUAUGUGUAUAGACACAUGCACACUCGAACAUGCACUGCAAGAAAUGGUGCCAAACUGUAUUAUGUAUAAUCCUGUUUUUUAGACCUUUAUACUAAUUACAUCGAUAUUAUUAAAUGUCAGUUUUAUACUUCAAAUAUGUAAUUGGAUUACCAAAAUAUGUCCAGAGCAUUAAAACGCAUCAAUCAUCCUACAACCAGCUAUUUUAUCUGUAGUCAGUUUUCUUUUUCAAAAAGUCAUAGACUAAUUGCUUCUAGUUGUAAAAAUGUUUACAGUGGCUCAGAGGGCCAAAGGUUAGUAGGCAAGCGCACCGAAAAAGAUGACUUUUCCAGAUA